rnacentral:rRNA from 1 species
CGGACGGGUGAGUAAUGUCUGGGAAACUGCCCGAUGGAGGGGGAUAACUACUGGAAACAGUAGCUAAUACCGCAUAAUGUCUACGGACCAAAGCGGGGGACCUCCGGGCCUCGCGCCAUCAGAUGAACCCAUAUGGGAUUAGCUAGUAGGUAAGGUAACGGCUUACCUAGGCGACGAUCCCUAGCUGGUCUGAGAGGAUGAUCAGCCACACUGGGACUGAGACACGGCCCAG